GACGAACGCUGGCGGCGUGCUUAACACAUGCAAGUCGUACGGUAAGGCCCUUUCGGGGGUACACGAGUGGCGAACGGGUGAGUAACACGUGCGUAACCUGCCCACAACUUUGGGAUAACGCUAGGAAACUGGUGCUAAUACUGGAUAUGUGCUCCUGCUGCAUGGUGGGGGUUGGAAAGCUCCGGCGGUUGUGGAUGGACUCGCGGCCUAUCAGCUUGUUGGUGGGGUAGUGGCCUACCAAGGCGGCGACGGGUAGCCGGCCUGAGAGGGUGACCGGCCACAUUGGGACUGAGAGACGGCCCAGACUCCUACGGGAGGCAGCAGUGGGGAAUAUUGCACAAUGGGCGCAAGCCUGAUGCAGCAACGCCGCGUGCGGGAUGACGGCCUUCGGGUUGUAAACCGCUUUCAGCAGGGACGAAGCUUUUUGUGACGGUACCUGCAGAAGAAGCACCGGCUAACUACGUG
rnacentral:rRNA from 1 species